rnacentral:tRNA from 1 species
UGCACAGUAGCUGAGUGGUAAAGCACUCGCCUGUUAAGCGAGAUGUCGCAGGUUCGAUCCCUGCCUGUGCAGCCA